GUCGUGGGCGUAGGAAAUUUGAGAGGAGCUGUCCUUAGUACGAGAGGACCGGGAUGGACAUACCUCUGGUGUACCAGUUGUCGUGCCAACGGCAUAGCUGGGUAGCUAUGUGUGGACGGGAUAAGUGCUGAAAGCAUCUAAGCAUGAAGCCCCCCUCAAGAUGAGAUUUCCCAACUUCGGUUAUAAGAUCCCUCAAAGAUGAUGAGGUUAAUAGGUUCGAGGUGGAAGCAUGGUGACAUGUGGAGCUGACGAAUACUAAUCGAUCGAAGACUUAAUCAAAA
rnacentral:rRNA from 1 species